AUGUAUUCAUUCUGCAAUCAGGAUGGGAGUUACAAUAAAACAAUAAUCUCUGAAGCAAAGCAACAUGAAUAUUGAAAGGUGAAAAGAGAUACACAUAACAGAAAUAUAUGAGAUGUGCAUUCAAAUUAAUACAUUCAUUCUGACAGCAUGAGCAAAAGCUCUUCAUUUAUCUCCUGUGUGCCAAAAAGAUUGCAUCAGAAGGCUCAGAAUCAAAAACACUUGGAUUUCUUGAAUAUGGGGCAAAGAGACAUUCUCUGUGGCUUAGUUGAUCAUGAUCAAAGACAAUGAUGACCCCAGAAGCCAGGGUGAAAUGAGAGCAGUUGUGAUAGGAAGUAAGAUGGGAGGAACAUUCAGAAGUAAGUUGGUCACUCACUCAAGAUGGAUCAACAUCCUUCCUUAAUAAAUCACUUCAGUACCAUGAGAUAAAACUGAUGUAAACUCAUUUGGGUGAGCUCUUCCCUCCCAGAGGGCAGUGGACUCUUCUUCACAUAGCGCCCUUACUCUGGCAGCACAGCCUUCUUCAUUCCUCUCUGAAGACCUGAUUCCUUAAAUCAGGCAUCAGUAUGUUUUUGGAGCACAGGAUGGAAAAAGAUUAAGUGUCAAAUGGAAUCACACAAGCUGAACAGCAAAGCAGACAGCAGGAGAAGAAUCAAACAAGGUGAAUGGUGCCUAAGAAUACCAGUAAGACAACUCAUCUCCUUUCAAAGUGCUUCAUGCUUGAUUAUUUCAGGCCAGCGGUUUUCAAGAAACUCAUGCAAAAAGGAUGAAUUAUAUAACUGCAUGUUUCAAUGAAAGGAUUAGACAGUCCUCUGAAAACCUGCUUCUACCUCAGACCUCUGAUAUACUUUGUCUCUCACUGUGCAAGGCUGACGGAUGUUUCUUCUACAGUUUGACAAACCAAGAAGUUUGAGGUCUGUCUACUGUUAUUCAGUCAUCUGGCAGAGGUGGUAUAGGUAAGUAACAGGUCAGCGUGUGAGGAGGCUCAGGAACCAUGGAAGUUCAGCCACCAUGGACUUACAGAAGGACCCUGUGGACCUGGCAUUCCAGAAUCUCCUUUUUCUCCUUUCAUUCCAUUGGCUCCCUACAAACAAUCAGUAGCAGAGUUAAGCAGAUAAAGUUAUUUCCAGUGUAAGAGACAACUGAAUUUUCUCCCCAAUCCCAUUGUUCUCUUGACAUUUUAUAAUAUUAUGCACUUGCUACAUAAAAGAAGGAUUUAUCUCCUUGCAUUCUAGCUUAAAAUAGCAACUUUACUAAAAUCUCUAGGAUUAUGGGUGAUAUGUAAAAUAAAAUAUAAAGUAAAUACAAACUGGCUUGAGCUUGAUUGGUUAAAGUCCUACGGUGUUAAAUAUAUUGAGUUAUAAAUGUUAUAU